CGGACGGGUGAGUAAUGCCUGGGAAAUUGCCCUGAUGUGGGGGAUAACCAUUGGAAACGAUGGCUAAUACCGCAUAACGUCUACGGACCAAAGAGGGGGACCUUCGGGCCUCUCGCUUCAGGAUAUGCCCAGGUGGGAUUAGCUAGUUGGUGAGGUAAUGGCUCACCAAGGCGACGAUCCCUAGCUGGUCUGAGAGGAUGAUCAGCCACACUGGAACUGAGACACGGUCCAGACUCCUACGGGAGGCAGCAGUGGGGAAUAUUGCACAAUGGGCGCAAGCCUGANGCANCCAUGCCGCGUGUAUGAAGAAGGCCUUCGGGUUGUAAAGUACUUUCAGUCGUGAGGAANGCGUUGAAGUUAAUAGCUUCAUCGNNUGACGUUAGCGACAGAAGAAGCACCGGCUAACUCCGUGCCAGCAGCCGCGGUAAUACGGAGGGUGCGAGCGUUAAUCGGAAUUACUGGGCGNANAGCGCAUGCAGGUGGNUUGUUAAGUCAGAUGUGAAAGCCCGGGGGCUCAACCUCGGGAACCGCAUUUGAAACUGGGCAGGCUANNAGNANUGUAGAGGGGGGUANAAUUUCA
rnacentral:rRNA from 1 species